rnacentral:rRNA from 1 species
GACGAACGCUGGCGGCGUGCUUAACACAUGCAAGUCGAACGGUAAGGCCCUUCGGGGUACACGAGUGGCGAACGGGUGAGUAACACGUGGGUGAUCUGCCCUGCACUUCGGGAUAAGCCUGGGAAACUGGGUCUAAUACCGGAUAGGACCACUGCCUGCAUGGGUGGUGGUGGAAAGCUUUUGCGGUGUGGGAUGGGCCCGCGGCCUAUCAGCUUGUUGGUGGGGUGAUGGCCUACCAAGGCGACGACGGGUAGCCGGCCUGAAGGGGUGACCGGCCACACUGGGACUGAGAUACGGCCCAGACUCCUACGGGAGGCAGCAGUGGGGAAUAUUGCACAAUGGGCGCAAGCCUGAUGCAGCGACGCCGCGUGAGGGAUGACGGCCUUCGGGUUGUAAACCUCUUUCAGCACCGACGAAGCGCAAGUGACGGUAGGUGCAGAAGAAGGACCGGCCAACUACGUGCCAGCAGCCGCCGUAA